AAAAAACACCAGUUCUCAUUUGAUCACUGAAGUUGAGCAGUGUUGAGCUUCGUCAGUACUGAGAUGAGUGACUGCAUCAGAACACUGGCUACUGUA